AUUUAAGUAAUUUUAAUUAAAAUUUUGAUUUGUGAUAUCAAAUAUAUAAGUUUAAUCCUUAUCUUAAAUC
rnacentral:tRNA from 1 species